GAGGUCCUAUGAAUGGUAAUAACCAGUACUUUUUUUUUUUUUUAAUCUUUUUUUUUUUUUAAGAUUUUAUUUAUUUAUUCAUGAGAGACAGAGAGAGAGAGAGAGAGAGAGAGGCAGAGGGAGAAGCAGGCUCCCAAGGAGCAGAGAGCCCGAUGCGGGACUCAAUCCCAGGACCCUGGGAUCAUGACCUGAGCCGAAGGCAGACGCUUAACCAUCUGAGCCACCCAGGCGCCCAAUAACCAGUACUUUUUCACCAGUUCUGGUCCUCACCAACAUGGAGCAGCACCUCCUCUAGUCACAAUCUGCCUUUUAUCCACCACAAAGUCUCAUCCAGCUAUUUCUUAUAAUGUAUGGGGCUGUCUCAGGUCUCCGACUGAUACCAUACUCCAGGCAUGAGAACAGCCUGUGCAAUGGCCUGAUGUGUGAAGAACAGCUUGAUGUGUGGAUGGAACAAAAAAUGUUUUAGGGUAGCCAGGAGCCAGGAGUGCCUGAGGAAUGUCACGCAGAUCCCAAAGGGGGAGGUGUUUCGAGGUGUCAGCUUGUGCUUUGUCCUCAACUUGCCGUCUGCUCCCUCAUCAGUAUAUACAUGUUUAAAUAAAUUAUGGUACUUCCAUGUAAUGAAAUAAUAUCUAGCCAUGAAAAGAAUAAGGAAGCUCUCUAUGAACUGAUGUGGAAUGAUUUCCGAGAGAUGUCAGGUGCAGGUUGCGCACACAUAUAUUUGCUAGUACAUGUAUAGCACAUCUCUGGGAGCACGUAAAAUUAGUUGUUCAUGUGGAGUGAAACUGGGUGAGAGCAGGAGAGUGGGGGCAGAGAUAUUUUUACUGAAAAUGCACCACACUUUUAAAAUUUGGAAACUUCGGGGCACCUGGGUGACUCAGUCGGUUAAACGUCUGCCUUCAGCUCAGGUCAUGAUCCCAGGGUCCUACGUGGGGCUCCCUGCUCAGCGGGGACCUUGCUUCUCCCUCUGCUGCUCCCCCUGCUUGUGUGCAUGCUCUCACUC